rnacentral:lncRNA from 1 species
CUUAGUGUCUGAUUUGGUAAGGUUGUCUUCCUGAGAAACUGGGAGAGUGGCUCAUGGACAGCUUGGAAGGUUGGUCUGUCAGAGCACAUGUCAAGAAAACAUACUCUGUUUUAAAGGCAUCUUGUUUCAGUUUGGGGGGCUUUUUGUUUGGUUGGUUUUUUUUUGUAGUUUUGUUUUUCAUUUGGGGUUUUUUGUUUGUUUUGUUGGUUUGUUAUUUAACCUUCCAACAUUCAAUAGCUUUAUUAUUAAUCUGCCAGAGUGGGUAGGACGUGCGGGGAAGCCCUUGCCCAUGUGCUCAUGCAAGGAAGCGUUUUGGGCAGGUAUCCUUACAGCAGGAACUGCAGAGCUGAAGCUGCAGCUUACAGCAACACACUGUCCUUCUGUAGCUCUGUUCUUCUGAGCCACAAAUCUGCCCUUGCUCUGCCUUUUGAGGCCACUCAGUUCUGUGCUGCUUCUGCUGCCAGCUGGUUUCUGCACUAAGUCUACUGGCACUUGAGUCAUGAAAGCAUGGACUUUGUUGGGUAUGAACUUAUGGGAAAAACCUACUGGGGAGUCUAAGGAAACAGCCCGUUUUAGUAAGCAGUGUGGAUCAAAUGGUAAAAUCACUUAUUUUACUGUUAGAAAGCUUAUGCUUGGUAAGGAACAUCCUAGUACUGUGUUCCCAGCUCAGCCCUGCUGCAGGGACAAUGCUUCUGGCCCUCUCUCCACCAGGGUGUUGUUCUUCUGUCACACACAUGAAGAAGCUCACAUUUAUCUGCAGUACAGCCCCAGGUGUGGGCCAUACAGGUGGAAUAAAUGUGCUUGCACUGGUACAUGGCACACACAGCGCUGUUGCAUUGCUCACAGAGGACCAUCUGUACCAGGCUGUGCAAACCAAGACUGGAGUUAAAGCUGCUGUUGCUGUACUGAGUCUUAUCAUUCUCUUCACUGAUACAUGAAAAUCCAAAAUACUGGGUAGUUACAGCUUGACAAUCCUGAUGUGGUUUUCUCCCUACCUAAUUUUCAAAAUACUUGUUUAAUUAUAGCAACCAGCAAAAAGCCUGACACUUCUGCAACGGAGAGCACAAGAGCUAUGGGAGUGUCAUUAAAGCUGAACUUCAUCUCAUGGUUUGGUGUGGUUAUCCUUAUGCCUGAUUUUAAGUUAUCUCAGAAAAUCAGACAUUAAGGAAAGCCAGCUGCUUCUGUUAAAUAAACUCCAUUGUCUAAGACUUAAAGGGAGCAAACCAGCCAGGUGGAGUUAUUGAUCUGUGAAUCUCAGCUGGCCUGGCCUCCCAGGCAGGGCUCUCCUGCUCCCUGUAAUUGCCAGCACCUACAGGGAGAGCUGCUGCUCUGCUGGCCUUGGCUUCCCGAGCUGCAGACACUUUAUUGCCAACAAGGCAGGGAAGCUGUCAGUGAAAGAACUCCCUGUGGAAACUUUAGCUCGGGUGAAGACAAUGGCAAAAAUCCCACAACUUGUGUUGUGGUGUGUGUGUGUUAUAUCAGCCCUGACACAAUGCAGGAGGGAGUUCUUUGUCUCACUUCAUCAGCUGAACAAUCUGAAGCUGCUCUGUGGAUUUGCCUACUGAACUGGAUGCUACCUGCUUUUUUGCAAUUUAUUGCUUUGUCUCCAGCAUUAAGAAAUCAAUGAAAUUAUACCUCGAAAUCCACAAGGUAACUGUUUUCUACUUUUAAAAUUGAUCAGUUUCUUGGUAAGGAACAUAAAUAAUUAUUCUUUUAUCUCUGGUCUGUUUUAAGCCUGAUGAAAAAAAAAAAAAAAGACCAGACGUGAACAAACACAAAACCCCAAAAACAUUGUGAAAUUAAUUAAGAAAUUAAUUUGAAGCGUUUAUAUUUUGGGAUGGGAGACUGAAGCUUUGAUUUGCUUUGAAGUGGUAGCUAUAUUGGAUUUAUAUUGCUUUGUUUUGCAUGUUUGGAUCCUAUUUGUUCAUUUGUGUUGUAAUACUUUUAAGUAUAAGCCAACAUUUCAGAAUAGGACAUUUGGAUAUUAAUAUGUAUUUUGACUUGGGUGAUUUGUUUGAAAAUCAUUCUGUUCUGACCUGUAUUUUAAAAUGAUAAUUUGCAGUUGAUCGCAGCUUCUAAAAAUUGCAGUUCUAGAGUGCGUUUUAGGGCACCAUCUUCUGGCAGACAGCACACAGUGUAUUUGAACGGCUGCCCUCGCUAGGCACAACUAUUUAAAAUAUUUCUGACUAACACCACUCCGCAGGCUUACAGGUCAUUUCUCAUUCUAAAUCUGCAAUAAAACACUAUUUAACAUUUUUUACAUUCUUCUUAUUCACUGCAACUGCAGCUAUUCACUGUGCUGCACAAACAUAACUUGGGACAGACCCUGUAAAAUUCCAGUCACAACAGGCGCUUUGUCAAAGUGCUGGGGUAGACAGACAACAUCUGUCCAAGCACUUAUGAUUAAUGCACCAUAUAUGUAUCUUAUUUCUUUUAUAGCUUCAUCUUCCACUUCUCUUACAUAUUUCAGAUAAUCACACUUCUGUACAGCACAGUUUAUGGGCUCAUACUUUGGAGGCUGCACAGGGCACUGGCCAUAAUUCCUUGCACUCACAGGACACAGUCACUGUAUAUUCCAAUGCAAUCAGUUAGCAACCACUACAUUUGCAUAAAUCCAUCAUUUACUUGGCCAGCUCAGUUAGCAGUGCACCCACUGAGUACUUUUAAGGAGGUCUGAAGUUGUAUGGCUUCUGAUUUCAGAGACUUGGAGGAGCUACACUUUCUCUUGAUACGAUAAAAAUAAAGUCCUGCUUACAACACUGCAAACCUUCAUCCAGUGAAGGAACCAGAAAGCUUUAGUGCACUGAAUAAAGGACAGAAACACUGUAUGAGGGUCAGGCUGCCAGACAUGCAGCCCCCUCUGCUCUGGUGGUGAGAAGUAUCAGCCUGACCGAAUGUGCCUCUUCAUACCCAUUAAAGAAUUGAGGCAGGCUACGAGCACUGACCUCCUGACCUGGCAACACAACACACUUCAGCUGUGAUGAGAAGGAUCAUUUCAGAAGGAAGAGGACAUUGGUUUGUUAAGAACACCAGUUACAUUUACAUUUUGCUGUAUUUUAGAGGUAUUAUAGAGGUAUCACUCGUUAACUGAAAAUGAUAAACUAAUGUGCAAGGAUAAAGCUGCUCCAUAAGUGUAGCUAACAAAGUCUGGUCUCUGCAUUCUGCAUCCUCUGCACUCUCCAGCUUGUAGCUGCUCUCCAAAUCCCCAGUAAUAUGCAGUCCAGUGAGCCCCGUGUCCCACAGAGCUCUGGCCCUGCACUUCCCAGCAGCAAAGGUGGCAGUCCCACAUCUCCAAAGCCAAAGUGCUGCCACAGAACUUUCUGGGCGUCUGUCCCUUCUCCAGCAUUGCAGAGUUGAAAUUGCUGUACCUUUGCAGGUUUCUUCAAAUGUUGCUGAAGAGGACUGGGAGCAAUUCUGUAUCUUCUCUUCUGAAAAUUGUUAUGCAAACUUCCAACUUUCUCAUGAGAGUGAAGAGUCUGCCACUGGGAGAGAGCAAGAUAACAUGUAUCUAAAUAGCAAUUAUCUUCUUUCAAUGUAAUAGAUAUCAAGCUGUAUCUACACGUACAUGUAAUUACUUCAUCCUGUUCUCCCUUAAAAGCAUCAAGGCUUCCAAAAAAAAAAAAAAAAAAAA